UACGGGGGAUGCAAGCGUUAUCCGGAAUCAUUGGGCGUAAAGCGCCUGUAGGUUGUUUAAUAAGUCUGUUGUUAAAGACUAGGGCUCAACCCUAGAAAAGCAAUGGAAACUACUAGACUAGAGUAUGGCAGGGGUAGAGGGAAUUUCUAGUGUAGCGGUGAAAUGCGUAGAUAUUAGAAAGAACACCAGCGGCGAAAGCGCUCUACUGGACCAUCACUGACACUCAGAGGCGAAAGCUAGGGUAGCAAAAGGGAUUAGAUACCCCUGUAGUCCUAGCCGUAAACGAUGGAUACUAGAUGUUGCAUGUGAUGUGCAGUAUCCUAGCUAACGCGUUAAGUAUCCCGCCUGGGGAGUACGCUCGCAAGGGUG
rnacentral:rRNA from 1 species